UCCCUAAUAGCUCAGCUGGUAAAGAAUCUGCCUGGCAUGCAGGAGACCCAGGUUCGAAUCCUGGAUUGGGAA
rnacentral:tRNA from 1 species